rnacentral:rRNA from 1 species
UAAUUGAAGAGUUUGAUCAUGGCUCAGAUUGAACGCUGGCGGCAGGCCUAACACAUGCAAGUCGAACGGAAACAUGUCUAGCUUGCUAGAUGAUGUCGAGUGGCGGACGGGUGAGUAAUGCUUGGGAACUUGCCUUUGCGAGGGGGAUAACAGUUGGAAACGACUGCUAAUACCGCAUAAUGUCUACGGACCAAACAGGGCUU